UCCUGGGUGGUGCAAACAGUUAACGCGCUCAGCUGCUAACUGAAAGCUUGGAGGAUCGAGUCCCCCCCCAGGUG
rnacentral:tRNA from 1 species